UGAGUGAACGUCAACUGCCGACCGCUGUUACGCAACGUAUUGUCAUUCGUUUUUCAAUGUGGGAAGGCGUUUAAAAUACCGAAAUUUAUCUUAUUUUUGCAAAAUCAGUUCGGUAGAACGUGCCUGAGUAAGGCUGAUGUGUUUAACUGGGCCAAAACAUUUCAGGAUGGCCGCGAAACCGUCGAGAAUGAGCCUCGUGACCGUCGACCGCAAACCAUCAAACCCACCAGACAAUAUUCGCUGCGCACAACUUCAUUAAUAGGUUCGUUCCAAGCGACCACAAAACCGGUCAUCGUACUGUCACGCGUUUGCGCAAUAGUUAUAAUGCGUUCCAAGAGACUUAUGACCGUUUACUGAACGAUCCUGAAUGCGAUCAAAGCGAAUGCGAAUCAAGCAGAAACCAAUUUCUGAGCGGACAUUUUGAUACAUCUCGGAGCGAAGGAACCGUUUGUAACUUGUAUGACUGACUUGCCGCAGUAGGUGCUUGACAGGUAUCAAUCGACCAGCUGUUCUGUUUAAAAAGGUUAUUUAUGAAAACAUUUGUUUGUAAAAUUUAAAUCCUUUACUUUUAAGUGUUACUGUGUGUGUGUACUAAGUUAAUUAAAUUUAAUGUUAAGAUAAAAUCACGGUGGGAAAUAUAAUCAACUAAACAAUCCAAGAUAACAAAGAGACCGGCAAAACUAGGGAUGAUUCAAUGAAAGGUGCAUAUCUGGUCGCUUGGAACAAACCUAAUGUUGCAUACUAUUCUACUCCUCUGCAUACUAACCAUCUGAAAACACACGUGAAAUUCACUUAUUGCUCAAAACGAAGGAGCUUUCCAGCACGAAGUCCGAUUCUUCUCCAGGAUUACGCGCCCUCAUACAGCCCGAGUUUGGUGAGAGGUACUGAAACACGCCCUUUACAGACCUAGUGAGUAGCGACUACCAUAUAUUUGGAUCACAGAAAGAAACCCUCAGAGGUCAAAAAUUCAACAUCGAUGACGAGGUAGAGGAGUUUGUACGCACAUGGCUAUUCGAGUUGCCCAAGAAAUUCUUCGAUACCAGCAUUAAAAAACUUUUAAAAAGGUAAAAAAAAUGUGUAACUAGUGAGAAAAAGUACCUAGAAAAACUAUAAAUUUUUGUAAAUUUUUCUGAUAGAAAAUAAACGUGUCAGAGCAUU